rnacentral:rRNA from 1 species
UACAGAGGUCUCAAGCGUUGUUCGGAUUCAUUGGGCGUAAAGGGUGCGUAGGCGGCGCGGUAAGUCGGGUGUGAAAUCUCGGAGCUUAACUCCGAAACUGCAUUCGAUACUGCUGUGCUUGAGGACUGGAGAGGAGACUGGAAUUUACGGUGUAGCAGUGAAAUGCGUAGAUAUCGUGAGGAAGACCAGUGGCGAAGGCGGAUCUCUGGACAGUUCCUGACGCUGAGGCACGAAGGCCAGGGGAGCAAACGGG